CGCUGUUCCGAUCUGUAAGAAGUGAUUCAAUUUUGAAGGUCAUAGGUCAAAGGACAAAGUCCGGAAAAAUCUUGGAACAAUCCCUAUCUUUAAUAUUGAAUGAAUAUUCAACAAAUUAUAACUCUGUCAAAAAAGAUCACAUUUCUUUCAUAUUUGGCAGCUUUAUGUAGGAUGGUAUCAUUUAAUGAC